UUUCCUUUUCGAUUGAACGCUGGGAAGUGAGAACCCUAUCUUUUCUUCUAUCUCCUCCCGUCUUUCCUCUGCCAUUCAUCAUCUCCUUCCUCCUUUCACUUGGUUUUUCGAGUUCUCCUUCCUCUUUCUACAUCGGAUCUUUUUCUCUCUCCUCCAAGCAGCUUCAAUUCUCGUCUGCUACUUCCGACGAUUGUUGUAGCAACUACAAUCUUUGACCCAGCUUGUUCUGGUUUACAUGUCCAAGGUGGAUGGAAAAUUCAAUUUUAGUCAGUGUCAACUUCUUGACCGAGAUUAUGAAGGUUAUCUUUGCAAUUGUUAUGAUUUUGAUUCAGGCCAGACAAAAAAUUUGGAGAAAAGCCUCUUCCAUCUGUCUCCACAUUUGUUCAGGUAACUGAUUACUGGGGCGAGUACUUGAGGUCCUCUGUCGAUUUCUUCUCCCUGAAUCGUUUCUUGCUCGUCGGACUCAACUAAGCAAUGAUCUUGAUGCUGAUUAGUCGAUUAAAAGGAGGAUGUAUAGGGAAUUACCAAUAGAGAUUUUAUUGUUAGAGCUACUAAGGAGGAUGUAUAGUGGAAUUACCAGUGGAGAUUUUAAUGUUAGAGCUAUCAAGAGAUGGCUCAUCUAUUGUUUGUGCAUUACAGGUUUCUUCAGUUCGUGCAAGCAAGUUAGAUGAUAAAAGACUGAGCAUAUUUACUGGAACAAAGACUCUUCACUUACACUGUGUGUCCAAAGAAGAUAGAGAAGCAUGGAUUGAGGUGUUGUUAGCUGCAAAGAUCUUUUCCCCAGGGUGCUUUCAAGCAUUGAAUUUUCUCCUGAAGACACUCUUGUGUCAACAAAUAACCUUCGGCGAAGGAUGUUACAGGAAGGUGUUGCCGAGCCAGUGAUUAAAGAUUGCGAGUCUAUUAUGCUCGUAGAAGUCUCUAAGCCGAAGAAUCAAUUUACAACUCUUCCACACAAACGUAUCUCUUUGCUGGAGACUUUGAGACGGUUAGAGAUGGCACUUUACUGUUACCUUUGAUUGUAUGUCAAAGACUGGAGGACGGUACAGUGAGGCACUAGGAGGAGUUGUCUCAUGGGGCUCACAUAGUCUACUGCUCUUUCCGCUUACUUGAAUGAGCAAGGGUUCAAGACGAAGAUUUAGUUUCUUAAAUAAAAAAUUGGCAGAAGGCAGGGGAUCUCUAUUUGGCGGUUGUUGUAGAACUACUCCAAAGACGAUAAAUGGCGGACUCUCUUCGAGCAUUCAGUCCCUCCGAGUUAACAAGUCAUUCACACUUUUGUGUUGUAAAUGAGUAAUUAGGAAAUGUGAUCUAUGCUUGUGUACUGUUGUUGCCUUUAUUGUUUCAUAUAAUUCUGAGGAUUUGCUUCCGAAUUUGUUUACUGAAGGGACCUUCUCGUUCUCAUUUG